AUUGAACGCUGGCGGCAUGCCUUACACAUGCAAGUCGAACGGCAGCACGGGAGCAAUCCUGGUGGCGAGUGGCGAACGGGUGAGUAAUAUAUCGGAACGUGCCCGGUCGUGGGGAUAACGUAGCGAAAGCUACGCUAAUACCGCAUACGAUCUACGGAUGAAAGCGGGGGAUCGCAAGACCUCGCGCGAUUGGAGCGGCCGAUAUCAGAUUAGGUAGUUGGUGAGGUAAAGGCUCACCAAGCCGACGAUCUGUAGCUGGUCUGAGAGGACGACCAGCCACACUGGGACUGAGACACGGCCUAGACUCCUACGGGAGGCAGCAGUGGGAAUAUUGGACAAUGGGCGAAAGCCUGAUCCAGCAAUGCCGCGUGAGUGAUGAAGG
rnacentral:rRNA from 1 species